AGUUUGAUCCUGGCUCAGAGCGAACGCUGGCGGCAGGCCUAACACAUGCAAGUCGAACGGACCCUUCGGGGUUAGUGGCGGACGGGUGAGUAACACGUGGGAACGUGCCUUUAGGUUCGGAAUAGCUCCUGGAAACGGGUGGUAAUGCCGAAUGUGCCCUUCGGGGGAAAGAUUUAUCGCCUUUAGAGCGGCCCGCGUCUGAUUAGCUAGUUGGUGAGGUAACGGCUCACCAAGGCGACGAUCAGUAGCUGGUCUGAGAGGAUGACCAGCCACACUGGGACUGAGACACGGCCCAGACUCCUACGGGAGGCAGCAGUGGGGAAUCUUGCGCAAUGGGCGAAAGCCUGACGCAGCCAUGCCGCGUGAAUGAUGAAGGUCUUAGGAUUGUAAAAUUCUUUCACCGGGGACGAUAAUGACGGUACCCGGAGAAGAAGCCCCGGCUAACUUCGUGCCAGCAGCCGCGGUAAUAC
rnacentral:rRNA from 1 species